GCUUCCGUGGUUCAACAGGCAGAACGGUUGCUUCGUAAGCAUCAGGUUACGGGUUUGAUUCCCGUCGGAAGCUCCA
rnacentral:tRNA from 2 species